CGAAUUCAUUGAUUUUCUUUCCCAAUCUAGGGUUUGUCGUUGAUUUUCUAUUCAAUUUAGUAAUUUUAGGGUUGUGGUAAUAUAGGGUUUGUCAUUGAAGCGCGCACGGCUACACCUCCACCCUAACGGCCUCCUUGUCACGGCUACACCUCCACCGAUUCUGAGCUUUCUCACCACCAUUGAACCAGCUUCGAGGUGUAAUGAUCAUGGAGAACCACUCCCUCCUGAUGAUCAAAAAUAUGUUAUUGACAAUGUACUGAACUACCAUCCUGAUAAACGGAUAAAAUUGGGGCUGAAGUUGAUUUUAUUAUGGUUAAAAAGCAUAGCAACUUCCAAGAAAGUCGUUGCUUUUAUGUCGUUUUAAUGGAUGGGCAUAAUGUGGACUUCUCAUACAUCAAGUGCUUGGAGACUUAUGUUAAGGGAAAGUACCAAUCAGUUGCUGAGUCCUUCAUGUCCAAGUAUUUUAAAAGGCCUCAUGCGGGAGGCAAUCCCUCACCUGCAAGUCCCUCGCCUGCAAGCCCAUCACCACCAAGUCUAAAAGUAGAUUGAAAUUAGUUAAAGUAAUUAAGAUAAUUCUAAUAGCAGAUUGAAAUUAGUUAAAGUAAAUAAGAUAUUUCCAAAAAUAGAUUGAAACGAGAUCCACCUUCUCUGCUUCCAAUUUAGGUUCAGUUAUAAGAAAUUUUGGUGCUCUAGGGUUAAAUUCUCACUCUUCUUUAAUGUCCACAUCAGCUUGCUAUAUCUCAGCUUGCUGUAUCUCAAAAAUCUUUUUAAUUUGUUGCAGCUUUCAAGAGCUCUAGUUGCUAUCAAAUCCUCUUUCGUGGGAAAUGUGUUUUCUAGCCUCUUGUAUAUUGAUUCUGAUGAUAGGUGCAAUUGCUUCUUUUGUC